rnacentral:rRNA from 1 species
ACGGCAGCACAGGAGAGCUUGCUCUCUGGGUGGCGAGUGGCGGACGGGUGAGGAAUACAUCGGAAUCUACCUUUUCGUGGGGGAUAACGUAGGGAAACUUACGCUAAUACCGCAUACGACCUACGGGUGAAAGUGGGGGACCGCAAGGCCUCACGCGAUUAGAUGAGCCGAUGUCCGAUUAGCUAGUUGGCGGGGUAAUGGCCCACCAAGGCGACGAUCGGUAGCUGGUCUGAGAGGAUGAUCAGCCACACUGGAACUGAGACACGGUCCAGACUCCUACGGGAGGCAGCAGUGGGGAAUAUUGGACAAUGGGCGCAAGCCUGAUCCAGCCAUACCGCGUGGGUGAAGAAGGCCUUCGGGUUGUAAAGCCCUUUUGUUGGGAAAGAAAUCCUGUCGAUUAAUACUCGGUGGGGAUGACGGUACCCAAAGAAUAAGCACCGGCUAACUUCGUGCCAGCAGCCGCGGUAAUACGAAGGGUGCAAGCGUUACUCGGAAUUACUGGGCGUAAAGCGUGCGUAGGUGGUGGUUUAAGUCUGCUGUGAAAGCCCUGGGCUCAACCUGGGAAUUGCUGUGGAUACUGGAUCACUAGAGUGUGGUAUAGGGAUGCGGAAUUUCUGGUGUAGCAGUGAAAUGCGUAGAGAUCAGAAUGAACAUCCGUGGUGAAUGCUGUAUCCUGGGCCAACACUGACACUGAGGCUCGUA